UACAGAGGGUGCUAGCGUUGUUCGGAAUCAUUGGGCGUAAAGGGCGUGUAGGCGGUUUGUUAAGUCAUGUGUGAAAGCCCCCGGCUCAACCGGGGAACGACGCAUGAAACUGGCAAGCUAGAGUACCGAAGAGGGGGGUGGAAUUCCUGGUGUAGCGGUGGAAUGCGUAGAUAUCGGGAGGAACACCUGCGGCGAAGGCGGCUGCCUGGACCAUUACCGACGCUGAGGCGCGAAAGCUAGGGGAGCAAACAGG
rnacentral:rRNA from 1 species